rnacentral:rRNA from 1 species
UACGUAGGGGCCUAGCGUUGUCCGGAAUUACUGGGCGUAAAGCGCACGUAGGCGGCUUUCUAAGUCGGGGGUGAAAUCCUGGAGCUCAACUCCAGGACUGCCUUCGAUACUGGAGAGCUUGAGUCCGGGAGAGGUGAGUGGAACUGCGAGUGUAGAGGUGAAAUUCGUAGAUAUUCGCAAGAACACCAGUGGCGAAGGCGGCUCACUGGCCCGGUACUGACGCUGAGGUGCGAAAGCGUGGGGAGCAAACAGG